ensembl:lncRNA
CAUGUGUCCACUGCUUCCAGCUGUGCGCCAGUUUUUGUGCUGAUGAACCACAGAAGGCCUCCCUCAGCAGUAUCUUCAAGAUGUGAAGGAAUAUCUGUGAGAAGUAAAAACUUGCUUGGCAAGCAAAUAGGUUGCAAGUGGUGAACGGCGUGAAUCUACACAUCUGGCCUGCUGCAGGACAGAAAGCCUGACAUUUGGAGUGACUUGGCAGCCUCCUGUGUUCCAGAAGUCCUGUUGAAAGCCAAAACAGUAUCAAGGGACUGUUUGCUGGUGCUUGGUCUAAAGCAGCAAGCUCCCCUUCCGAUGCUGAAAGGCCACUGUGAGGUCACCUCAACUGGAGCUUGAUCUUCUGAGUGCAGAACUGAAUGAACCUCAGCUGCUGGAUUUGGGAGGCUGCAAGGAGCAAGCAUGGCUCUCUGACAGAACAAAUAAGAUGACAUUUUAGCAACAACUUUGAAGGAUUUGAGCUACUGGAGGGUGAAACAGUGACCUUAUUUUCUUGAUUAAGGAGAGCUGAGCAAUUGUACAGCACCAGGCCAUGCAUGACUUCCUGGAUUAAAUGGAUGGGCUUGUCCUUAGGCCAAAACAUAGCAUCAUACCAGCCACUAUGAAGGAGAAAACAACUCUGUCCCAGCUGAAACCAGGACAAUAUGAAGACUCUGCACUGACCUUGACACCCAGCUUCCCUGAGAAACAGGAACAGCCAACUGCUGGUGUGAAGAAAUCUGAUGACCAACGUGGAUAGUGAUAACAAAAAAAUCUUCCUAAAAGCCUACAACUUCAAAAAUAAUGUUUUUUUCUUCCCCCCUUACUCCUGAAAAUCAAACUUUGCUUUACAUAAUUAACCCCUACAUUUGGCAGCUGAAACUUUUUU